AGAGUUUGAUCCUGGCUCAGGACGAACGCUGGCGGCGUGCCUAACACAUGCAAGUCGAGCGGGGAACGGAUGGUAGCUUGCUACCGUUUGUUUCUAGCGGCGGACGGGUGAGUAACGCGUGAGCAACCUGCCUUUAUCAGGGGGAUAACGCAUCGAAAGAUGUGCUAAUACCGCGUAAGACCACAGCUUCACAUGGAGCGGGGGUCAAAGGAGCAAUCCGGAUAAAGAUGGGCUCGCGUCCGAUUAGCUAGUUGGUGAGAUAACAGCCCACCAAGGCGACGAUCGGUAGCCGACCUGAGAGGGUGAUCGGCCACAUUGGAACUGAGAGACGGUCCAGACUCCUACGGGAGGCAGCAGUGGGGAAUAUUGGGCAAUGGGCGAAAGCCUGACCCAGCAACGCCGCGUGAGGGAAGAAGGGUUUCGGCUCGUAAACCUCUGUCCUAUGGGACGAAGGAAGUGACGGUACCAUAGGAGGAAGCCCCGGCUAACUACGUGCCAGCAGCCGCGGUAAUACGUAGGGGGCGAGCGUUGUCCGGAAUGAUUGGGCGUAAAGGGCGCGUAGGCGGCCUGCUAAGUCUGGAGUGAAAGUCCUGCUUUCAAGGUGGGAAUUGCUUUGGAUACUGGUGGGCUGGAGUGCAGGAGAGGAAAGCGGAAUUACCGGUGUAGCGGUGAAAUGCGUAGAGAUCGGUAGGAACACCAGUGGCGAAGGCGGCUUUCUGGACUGAAACUGACGCUGAGGCGCGAAAGCGUGGGGAGCAAACAGGAUUAGAUACCCUGGUAGUCCACGC
rnacentral:rRNA from 1 species